rnacentral:rRNA from 1 species
AGUGAACGCUGGCGGUAGGCCUAACACAUGCAAGUCGAACGGCAGCACAGUAAGAGCUUGCUCUUACGGGUGGCGAGUGGCGGACGGGUGAGGAAUACAUCGGAAUCUACUUUUUCGUGGGGGAUAACGUAGGGAAACUUACGCUAAUACCGCAUACGACCUACGGGUGAAAGCAGGGGAUCUUCGGACCUUGCGCGAUUGAAUGAGCCGAUGUCGGAUUAGCUAGUUGGCGGGGUAAAGGCCCACCAAGGCGACGAUCCGUAGCUGGUCUGCGAGGAUGAUCGGCCGCACUGGAACUGGGACACGGACCAGACUCCUACGGGAGGCAGCAGUGGGGAAUAUUGGGCAGUGGGCGCAAGCCUGAUCCAGCCAUACCGCGUGGGUGAAGAAGGCCUUCGGGUUGUAAAGCCCUUUUGUUGGGAGAGAAAAGCAGCAGGUUAAUACCCCGCUGUUCUGACGGUACCCAAAGAAUAAGCACCGGCUAACUUCGUG